rnacentral:rRNA from 1 species
CGGACGGGUGAGUAACACGUAGGUAACCUGCCCUGUAGUGGGGGAUACCCAGCCGAAAGGUUGGCUAAUACCGCAUACCUUCGUUGGUCGAGACACCGAUGAAGAAAGAUUUAUCGCUACUGGAGGGGCCUGCGUACGAUUAGCUAGUUGGUGAGGUAAUGGCUCACCAAGGCGACGAUCGUUAACUGGUCUGAGAGGACGACCAGUCACACUGGAACUGAGACACGGUCCAG